AUCGCUUUUACACUAUGUUAACCAGGCAAACACGCAUGAGAGCCUCAUGAAUGACAGAUGUAACAAACCCAGUGGAAAUCAGUGACCCUGUUUUCUACACGCUAUCACAGAGGAGGGAGAUUUUCGAGAAAGACUUGGAAAAUAGGAACAUGGGUUUCUAUUGUUGGCUGCUCAGAUGCUUUCGAACUCAAACUGAAAGGGGAGCCGCUAAUCUGAAUGGAUCACAUAUUGACUCAGUUUUAAAAGACAUAGUUCAGGCCCGUAGUUCUGUGGGGCAAUGUUAGUCCAGUCCAAAGUCUGCUUCUGCUGUUUUUUCCUGGGAUCUCACUACAGACUGCAAGCUUGAAUCUAUGAACUGGACCAAGUCUCUGAAUGUUUCAUGUGCCCAAAAUAUCUGCUGUGCCCACAUGUUUCCUGGCAAGCCCAACUUCACAAAGUAAACAGAGAUGACCUCCAGUCCAUCAGGACUUCUGGAAAGUUUAGAAAUGAUGCAACUUUUUGGUCAUAUGAAAUUACACAAUGAUUUUUUUUCUGUGAAGUGUGAACUUCCUUCUUUUCAACAGCCCUUGGUAAGUCUGAUGUGACUCCUUGGCUUGGUGAUAAAACAGAACUGUCUUAUACAAGAGGACACUUCAGUCAUUGGGUUGCAUCUGGGAGGCCUCAGUCACCUUGUGACAUCCAUUGGGUCAGUUUCUACAAAGUGGCCCACAGCAUGUCAAUCACUCUAGAAAAAGUGGAAUCAAUCAGCAAACAUUUAUUAAGUGCCUACUAUGUGCCAGGCAGCUUCUAGGUAGACAAAGAAAGAAAUAAGAUAAUCACUUUCCUCAAGGAUUUUGCUUUCUAUUGGGAGACACAACAUGUUCACGUACAAGGGAACAGAAAAUUCACAAAGUAAAUCAAGAGUAAUAGAGUGAAGAGAGGACUAGUGAGGAAAUCAGAAAAGGCCUCCUAUGAGAAGGAGCAGCUCAGCUGAGUUAAGAAUGCUGAUCAAUCAAUCAAGAAGUGUCAAUUGAGCUCUCUACUAUGUGCCAGGCACUGUGAGAGGCCCUGCAGAUGAAAAGACAAAAACCAAAACAUUCCCUGCCCUCAGAGAGGUUGAGAGGUGGAGUAAGCAAGGAGUGAAUUCCAGACAUAGGAACAGCCUGUGUAAAUAAAGGCAAGCAGGGAAUGUCUUGAGUAAGGAGC
rnacentral:lncRNA from 1 species